rnacentral:lncRNA from 1 species
AUGGCUGGAGGUCAUAGGAAGGAGCUGUUCCCUAUAUCACUAAUUUCAUAUGGGAAAUGGUGUGGCCUCUUUUCAGGGGAGGUAACAGCAUAUCUGUCCACCACAUCCUGGGCCCAGCCCCCAACUAUGGUUGACCCUUCCUUCAAUGUAGCUGAGACCAAUCAACAGAGGAAAUGGCUAAUGGGAAAGAGCAGGGAAUCACAUGUAAGCCUUUUGUGCCAGGGGCUCCAGAAAAACACUCAUUUCCUCUACAUCUUCAAGGAUAAGAAAUUCAGAGACAAGGUAUCUGUUUCCAGGCUGGAUAAUGAAUUCACAUUCAGGAAUGUGGGAGCUGUUGACAAGGAGUUAGAGCUGUCAUUGUGGCCAAUGGACCAGGUGCCUGGGCAGGGCUCAGGGAAGCCUGCAACUCAUGUAACAAGAAGAAUAAAAGUCACAAGAGGAAGUCAUGCUUCUCUGGUGCUUUCUGGGUGACAGGGUGCAUUCCUCAAGACCUUCCUGAGAGGCAGCUGGGGGUGAAGGGAAGAAGGGGGCCAGAUAAAGCAGUUGUGGCACUGGAGGAGGAAGGUGACUGAGCCCCAAAGCCCUCACUGGGAGCUUCCUUAGCUAAUCUUCACAAUAACAAUGGCUUAUAUAGUGCUUUGUAGAUAGUUCUUGGAGGUUUGCAAAGUGCUCCACAGAUAUCAUCUCAUUUUACCCUCACCUGGGAGGUAGAUGCUAUUAUUAUCCCCAUUCUACAGAUGAAGAAAACUGAGGCAGGGAAUGAUUCUGUAACUUGCCCAGUGUAACACAGCUAGUAAACACCCAAAUCUAGAUUUGAAUUCAAGUCUUUCUGACUUCAGGCAUUUGUUAAGUGCUUAGUACAUGGCGCAGUGAGAAGAAAGAAGAGGUGACUCUGCAUGCUAGGCCUUGCCUCUCUUCUGAUACCUUUGAUCCAAUGGCUGCUUAUCUCCCCCAGCAGGCUGUCAUCACUUCCCACUAAUCUUCACUCUGUCCCAUCUACUUGGUCCUGUUUCCUUUAAACAUGUCCAAUUCUAUUCUACAUUUACCAAAACCUUCACUUGAAAUGUCUCCUUCCUCGCACAGAUAAAUGCCUAUAAAAGCAAUCAGUGCUCAUUGCUUCCACUUCCUCCCCUUUCACAUACUUCUCAAGCCCAUAUAUGAGAUAUGGCUUCUUGCCCGUAUCUCAACUGAAAGCACUAUCUCUAAAUUUCCUAGUGAUCUAUAAUUACCAAGUCAAAUGACCUCCCCCCCCCCCAGCUCUUAUUGGUCCUGGCCUCUCUGCAGCAUUUCAUACCGUUAGCACCAUUUCCUCUUGGAUACGCUCUCUUCUUCUCUAGGUUACUGUGGCAGUGUUUUCUUGGUUCUGUUCCCACCUGGGCAUUCUCUUUUUUCAUUUAAUAUUUUAUUUUUUUCCAAUUACAUGUAAAAAACAAUUUUAACAUUCUUUUUUUCUUCAAAUUUUGAGUCCCAA